rnacentral:tRNA from 1 species
GCCUUCGUUGUGUAACAGUUAGUACACUCGGCUCGUAUUCGAGAUGCCCAGGUUCGAGUCCCGGUGAGGGCA